GGUUGAUCCUGCCAGUAGUCAUAUGCUUGUCUCAAAGAUUAAGCCAUGCAUGUCUAAGUAUAAGCGAGAUUAUACAGCGAGACUGCGGAUGGCUCAUUAAAUCAGUUAUAGUUUAUUUGAUGGUUCCUUUUUACUACUCGGAUAACCGUAGUAAUCCUAGAGCUAAUACGUGCAUAAAACCUCGACUAGGGGCAACCCUUGGAAGAGGCGUAUUUAUUAGAUAAAAAACCGGCACAGGGUAUUAAACAAACUAUGAUAGAGAUAUAUGGGAUAAGGGGUAUAAACAACUCUUU
rnacentral:rRNA from 1 species